GAUAGUACUAUUCAAUACUAUCGUGGAAAAGUAAACGUGGUAGCUGACGCGUUGAGUUGAAGAUCGUAUGCGUUUAGGAGUGCAAUGUUGUUAACACAAAAACCUAUUUCGUAUAACUUACAAAUGAUGAAGAUAGAGUUAAAGACUCUAGGGACCCACGUGAAGAUAACGAAUAUACGAGUAGAAUCGACUUUAAUCGAUAAAGUUAAAGCCGCUCAAGCUACAGAC
rnacentral:lncRNA from 1 species